rnacentral:sRNA from 1 species
AAGUGUGUUGGGGGAAGUUAAGCCAGCACUAGUCCCACAGUUUGCUGAUGCACCUCCUGCAAUAGUAACUAAUAAUAAUACAGAGUAUAAUAAUAAUAAUGAUAAUGAUAAUGAUGUGAUUCCCCUCACUAGAAGGGGCUGGAUCUGGAUCAAAAAUGUGGAACUCUGCGUGUGGUUCCACUACGCCCGUCCGAUUGAAGUCUGAAGGAGAAACAGGAUUAACAGAGCUUAUCAUCGGACUGAAUAGUUCCUGAAUUUCCUCUUGACUGCCUCUUAAUACCCUCGGCCAGUGCAGGAAAUCAAAAUAUAUGUCUAUCCUCCUUGACUUCAAUUUGUUCCACUUAGUAGGAGACUCUGUCGACUAGGUUCAUAAAAUGCAAAACGGGAUGCAGCAAGGAGCGUAUUGCUGACAAAAUUAGGAAGCAUUAAGAAACUAACGGAACAUAAUAUGUGGCCCCAAUCUAUGUAAGGGUGACAACGAAGGAAAAGAAUAGUAGUGAGGAAUCUAAUAGCACAAAA